AGAGCGAGAAGAUGAUGCAUGUGAGCCCUGCCCUUGGGAAGCUUCCAGGUUGGGAAAUGAGGAAUGAGCCUGACACCCAGGGCCCAGAGAGACCCAGGACAGAGGCAGGUCAGGAGGCAGACACGCGCUGCUGGGUAAUGACGACAGCACCAGUAAUCACGGCUACUCCUUGUUAAGUACUUACUAAGUGCAAGACUCCAAGCUAAGCAAUUAAUAGACCUUUUCUUGUUUAAUCCUUACCACAAUUCCAUAGGGUUGAGUAGGAAGUCCUUCUUGAAGUCUAAUCUCAAGAAUUCAUGCCAUGGAUUGGGCCAAUGUUCCACCUUUAUUGGAGUCUGGGGACUUAGGUGGAAAAGGCAGAACUGGCUGGUUGGAGGAGCCACCUCCCUGCAAGGGGCCAGGAGGGAGAUUACGGAGGCGCCAAGCCCAGAGCUCCAACAUGCACCUGCCACAGCUCCAGGGGAGAUCGGGGGCCUGCCAAUUUACCCCGCCCCAUGAUCUCAUGGCUGUGUGCGCCAGGCACUGGCUCAGGGAGCAGCAUCUCACAGAGAAGAUACUUGGAUGGGCCACAGGCCAAAACUGGGCCAAAACCCUGGAGAGGGGGACCUGGCUCAAGGCCACACCACAUUUCCAUGUCAUUUUCCAGUGGCACCAACUGAGCUGGACAGAUGUUCUCACAGAGCUACACAUGCCACAGUCAUCACUAGUUGCGAGAGUCUCCAGUGUUCAUUAAGCCUAUUUUGCUGGAAGUUUAGUCCCUGGAGGAUUAGUCCCUGCCCUUAAGGAGUGCCAAAGAAGACUUUGGAAUCUAAGUCACAUCUCCCCUGCUGCAAUUUUUUCCUCUUGAUAAUCAAGGAAUCUCACUGAUAAAACUCUCAAUGAGGAGCAGCUCUCCCCAUGAGCAAGUUCUUGCCUUCAUUGCCAGGGAGGCCCCAGCUAAGGUUAUACUGGGAAAGGAAUCUCUGGGGAGUACCUGGAAGAGGUCAGCUUCUCCUCAAAGGAAGCCUCUCCAGCUGGUGUACUGCAAAGCCUUCCAAGACCAAGUUCCCUCUUCCUGGCCUCUGGAACCAGCCUGUGUGCCAGCGCUGUGUCCCCAGUAACACACAUGAGUCUCUCCCUCAGAAGCCACAGAAGGAUGCAGAGAGAGACCAACCCAGGAUUGAUUCUCAGCACUUACUAAUUGUGUGGACAUAACUGCUCUGGACCUCAGCUUUGCUAUCUAUAAAAUGAGCACCCUUUUUAUAGAUAUGAACACUUUAAGAGAGUCAUAAAGAUUGAAGUUGAUUUGUGCUGCGCCUGGCACAGAGGUCUCCCUCAGUAAAUGGCAGCCACUGCUAUUGGGGUGCCCCAACACCCCUUGCCCCUGCCCACCAUUAGCUUUCACUUAGGCCCACACUGAGGGUGUGGCUGUUGUGUUGGGGGAAGGAAAAAAACCAUGCCUGGGUUGCAGGGCCCCCACCACCAACUGGUCUGCUUUUGUGGGAAGCAUUUUCUGAUGCCCUCGCCCUACCCGUGGGCUGGUUGACUAAGUGUCCAGCAUCAUGAGGAAAAGAGCAGGGUUCAGGGACAGCUUGGCUCAGCCCUGAAACUCAUCUGGGCCUAGGUCCAGAUGAGAGGCAAGCCUGGGAGGCCUUCCGUUGUACCCUUGCCUAUCCUGCAGCACCCUCUAGCCUGCAGGCCGCUCCUGGGUGGCAUAGCACCUUGGAUGUCAGGUGUGGGCCUUCCCAGGCACAUGGCAUGAGGGGGCACUUCUGUGGGUUGUUGGGGGCAGGAAGGGAUGUGUCUCCAGCUGGACUUGGGCUCUCGCAUUUUGGGGCCCAGCCAUGCCAGGACAGCACACAUGGGCGCUUAGUGCGAAUCUCAUGAUGGAGCAGAGGAGGAGCAAAGCAAAACCAGGGAGUCCCCAGGCCCCUGCUUCUGCCCCGCCCAGAGACAGUGGAGCAGGUGUCUCCAGCUUCUUAACCUCAACGCACAGUAAGAAAUACAUUUUACAGCAACCAAUAGACACAUACAUUUACAAAACGA